rnacentral:rRNA from 1 species
AUACGUAGGGGGCGAGCGUUGUCCGGAAUGAUUGGGCGUAAAGGGCGCGUAGGCGGCCCGGUAAGUCUGGAGUGAAAGUCCUGUUUUUAAGAUGGGAAUUGCUUUGGAUACUGUCGGGCUUGAGUGCAGGAGAGGUAAGUGGAAUUCCCAGUGUAGCGGUGAAAUGCGUAGAGAUCGGGAGGAACACCAGUGGCGAAGGCGGGUAACUGGACUGCAACUGACGCUGAGGCGCGAAAGUGUGGGGAGCAAACAGGAUUAGAUACCCUGGUAGUCCACACUGUAAACGAUGAAUGCUAGGUGUAAGAGGUAUCGACCCCUUUUGUGCCGGAGUCAACACAAUAAGCAUUCCGCCUGGGGAGUACGGACGCAAGGUUGAAACUCAAAUGAAUUGACGGGG